rnacentral:rRNA from 1 species
AUUGAACGCUGGCGGCAGGCCUAACACAUGCAAGUCGAGCGGUAGAGAGGUGCUUGCACCUCUUGAGAGCGGCGGACGGGUGAGUAAUGCCUAGGAAUCUGCCUGGUAGUGGGGGAUAACGCUCGGAAACGGACGCUAAUACCGCAUACGUCCUACGGGAGAAAGCAGGGGACCUUCGGGCCUUGCGCUAUCAGAUGAGCCUAGGUCGGAUUAGCUAGUUGGUGAGGUAAUGGCUCACCAAGGCGACGAUCCGUAACUGGUCUGAGAGGAUGAUCAGUCGCACUGGAACUGAGACACGGUCCAGACUCCUACGGGAGGCAGCAGUGGGGAAUAUUGGACAAUGGGCGAAAGCCUGAUCCAGCCAUGCCGCGUGUGUGAAGAAGGUCUUCGGAUUGUAAAGCACUUUAAGUUGGGAGGAAGGGUCGUUACCUAAUACGUGACGAUUUUGACGUUACCGACAGAAUAAGCACCGGCUAACUCUGUGCCAGCCGCCGCUGUAAGAC